UACGGAGGAUCCAAGCGUUAUCCGGAUUUAUUGGGUUUAAAGGGUGCGUAGGCGGCUUAUUAAGUCAGGGGUGAAAGACGGUAGCUCAACUAUCGCAGUGCCUUUGAUACUGAUGGGCUUGAAUGAACUAGAGGUAGGCGGAAUGAGACAAGUAGCGGUGAAAUGCAUAGAUAUGUCUCAGAACACCGAUUGCGAAGGCAGCUUACUAUGGUUUUAUUGACGCUGAGGCACGAAAGCGUGGGGAUCAAACAGG
rnacentral:rRNA from 1 species